GUAGGUGGCAAGCGUUGUCCGGAAUUAUUGGGCGUUAAAGCGCGCGCAGGUGGUUCUUUAAGUCCGAUGUGAAAGACCCCCGGGCUCAACCGGGGAGGGUCAUUGGAAACUGGGGAACUUGAGUGCAGGAGAGGAAAGUGGAAUUCCACGUGUAGCGGUGAAAUGCGUAGAUAUGUGGAGGAACACCAGUGGCGAAGGCGACUUUCUGGCCUGUAACUGACACUGAGGCGCGAAAGCGUGGGGAGCAAACAGGAUUAGAUACCCUGGUAGUCCACGCCGUAAACGAUGAGUGCUAAGUGUUGGGGGGUUUCCGCCCCUCAGUGCUGCAGCUAACGCAUUAAGCACUCCGCCUGGGGAGUACGGUCGCAAGACUG
rnacentral:rRNA from 1 species